rnacentral:lncRNA from 1 species
UAGGGAUGAGAAUAAGUCAUCAAUUAUUAUAUUGAGUUGUCUUAUUUAUGUUAGUCAAUUAUGCAAGUCUAGUGUAGCAGCUUGAAUAAAGGGUCCAUGUUUGGAAUACAAUGCAUAUUAGAUGGACCUAACAAUAGAUACAUUCAUUACAUACAUAUUUACUAGAAAAAGGUUUCUUCAUCUUUGCAUUCUAUGAACAUAACUAUAGAUACAUUCAUUAAUCAUUACAUAUUUAAUUUAAUCCGAUCUAGCUAAUGCCACUUUGUAACACUCGAACGAACUCCCCCUCGCGAUCAGCUCCUUCUCCUAUUACGAUAUACCAGCUACAAUUACAGUUAUAAGUUAUCAUCAAGAAUGGUCGACAUCAGCAGCCCU